rnacentral:sRNA from 2 species
CUAAUCCUGCCGCCGUUCCGGAGCCCAGAACGAACCGCAUGGCAGGAGCGGGGGAACCACCUUUCUACGGGCGCCGAGAGGCGCCCUCGGGGUGAAGCCCUCGACGGACCACCAGGUCCGAGCGAAGGCCGGGCAGCACCUCAGCCCGAACCCGACAGCUCACCUCGCAGGCGCCGAGAGGUCAA